UUCCACUUUGAAACUUUCUCUAUCACUGAACAACGCUCUUUCAUUGAACAACGAAAGAGAUAAUGAACAGCUGGUGAAGAGAGUUGAGAACAGAUUCUCUUCUGCGAUUUGUGAGAACAACACCCUGAAGAGUUGAAGUUAUCGAAGAACUGAGCUGAAGAGUUGAAGAUUUGAAGUCACUAACAGUUCAAGUCGUCUCUCCGUUAAUGAUUUCUGGAACUACAAAAGGAAUUGGAUACUUUGGGGUUGUCGGCAAGAUGAUGAAAUGAAGUUAAAUAGUCUCUCUGUGAAGCUUUUCUCUCCAAUUUCCCACCGAAGAAAAGGAUUUCAGACUGCUUUUGUUGGAAUAGGGUUUAUCAGAUCAAUUUUCCCAAGAUUUGUUCGGGUCUGAGAUUUUCCCAGAAUUUUCAUUUGUCGUUAGUGUUUGAGUUUCGCGGUGAAGAUCGUUUCCCUGCUCUUUCCUUUCCAGUUCAGUGCCCGCAGAAAGUGUGAGAUUAUUCCGGAAUUCUCAUCUGUCAUUAGUGUUCGAGUUUCGUGGUGAAGAUCGUCUCCCUGCUCUUUCCUUUCAAGUUUGCUGUCCGAAGAAAGAAGGAGUUGAUUACUUUGGAGUUGUUGAAAUGAAACAAAUCACGAGUUACAACUAAAAUUUCAAAGUACGAGAAGAAAGCGCGAAGAUCGUGAUCACCGAAGUGACUCCUAUGCAUAUUCAAUAGACGAGAUAUAUUGAAUUACUACUUGGAAGCAUUUGAAUCAUAUAAUCAACAUUCGGAAAUAUUCGUGGAGGAUUCAAGGUUUGAUUUCGACUAGCACAAGUACCAUGGCUAGGAAUUCAAAUAUCUCAUCCAAGGAUUGGAUGGAGUUCGCAAGGUAUAGCAAAGAGUAUAUUGAUGGUGUUGAAUCAUUCCUAGAUUUCGCUUACUCCUAUGGAGAUCCUCCAGGGGAGGAGAUUUAGUGUCCAUGUGCAAAAUGUUGUAAUAUUCGUUGGACUCAAAGGAAUGUAGACUAUGAUCAUCUAAUAGCUUAUGGAUUUGUUAAAGGCUAUACUAGAUGGAUCAAUCAUGGGGAAUGUGAUAUCAAUUUUAAUGUUGACGAUGAUAUGGAUUGCUCGAGUGAUGAUA